GCCCAGUUGGAGAAACGGUUAACUCACAUGCCUUUCACGCAUGCAUUCACGGGUUCAAAUCCCGUACUGGGUACCA
rnacentral:tRNA from 1 species